GUGCUUUCUUUGGCAGCACAUACACCAAAAUUGGAGCCAUAUAGAGAAGAUUAGCAUGGCCCCUGAGCAAGGAUGACACUCAAAUUCAUGAAGAGUUCCAUUAAAAA